rnacentral:rRNA from 1 species
GAUGAACGCUGGCGGCGUGCCUAAUACAUGCAAGUCGAGCGAACAGAUGAGGAGCUUGCUCCUCUGACAUUAGCGGCGGACGGGUGAGUAACACGUGGAUAACCUACCUAUAAGACUGGGAUAACUUCGGGAAACCGGAGCUAAUACCGGAUAAUAUAUUGAACCGCAUGGUUCAAUAGUGAAAGACGGUUUUGCUGUCACUUAUAGAUGGAUCCGCGCCGCAUUAGCUAGUUGGUAAGGUAACGGCUUACCAAGGCAACGAUGCGUAGCCGACCUGAGAGGGUGAUCGGCCACACUGGAACUGAGACACGGUCCAGACUCCUACGGGAGGCAGCAGUAGGGAAUCUUCCGCAAUGGGCGAAAGCCUGACGGAGCAACGCCGCGUGAGUGAUGAAGGUCUUCGGAUCGUAAAACUCUGUUAUUAGGGAAGAACAAAUGUGUAAGUAACUAUGCACGUCUUGACGGUACCUAAUCAGAAAGCCACGGCUAACUACGU